rnacentral:rRNA from 1 species
CCUACGGGAGGCAGCAGUGAGGAAUAUUGGUCAAUGGCCGGAAGGCUGAACCAGCCAUGCCGCGUGAAGGGCAGGGACCUAGGGGCGUUAAACUUCUUUUGUGCGGGAGCAAGAAUGGUCACGUGGGGCCAGACGAGAGUACCGUACGAAGAAGCAGCGGCUAACUCCGGGCCAGCAGCCGCGGGAAGCCGGGGGAGGCAAGCGUUCUCCGGCUUUAUUGGGGUUCAAGGGUGCGUAGGCUGGGAGGUAAGUCAGCGGUGAAAUGCCCCCGCUCAACGGGGUGAAGUGCCAUUGAUACUGCCUUGCUGUACUGCGGUUGCCGUGGGCGGCUUGUGUGGUGUAGCGGUGACAUGCAUCGAUAUCACCCA